GUCACGAAGGAAGACCAGGGAGCCCAAGGAGGAGAAUGUGACACUAGGACCAACUAUAUGAGAGGGAGAGAAUGUUUUCGAUGUCGCUCACAUCUUUGCAUCUUUUAAUGAUACUUUUAUCCAUGUGACAGAUUUAUCUGGAAGAGAAACCAUGGUCCGCGUUACUGGCGGGAUGAAAGUCAAGGCAGACAGGGAUGAGUCCUCUCCCUAUGCUGCCAUGCUUGCAACACAAGAUGUUGCACAACGCUGCAAGGUAUGCACUUCCAUUUCCAC